GUCGAGCGAACAGAUAAGGAGCUUGCUCCUUUGACGUUAGCGGCGGACGGGUGAGUAACACGUGGGUAACCUACCUAUAAGACUGGGAUAACUUCGGGAAACCGGAGCUAAUACCGGAUAACAUUUGGAACCGCAUGGUUCUAAAGUGAAAGAUGGUUUUGCUAUCACUUAUAGAUGGACCCGCGCCGUAUUAGCUAGUUGGUAAGGUAACGGCUUACCAAGGCGACGAUACGUAGCCGACCUGAGAGGGUGAUCGGCCACACUGGAACUGAGACACGGUCCAGACUCCUACGGGAGGCAGCAGUAGGGAAUCUUCCGCAAUGGGCGAAAGCCUGACGGAGCAACGCCGCGUGAGUGAUGAAGGGUUUCGGCUCGUAAAACUCUGUUAUUAGGGAAGAACAAACGUGUAAGUAACUGUGCACGUCUUGACGGUACCUAAUCAGAAAGCCACGGCUAACUACGUGCCAGCAGCCGCGGUAAUACGUAGGUGGCAAGCGUUAUCCGGAAUUAUUGGGCGUAAAGCGCGCGUAGGCGGUUUCUUAAGUCUGAUGUGAAAGCCCACGGCUCAACCGUGGAGGGUCAUUGGAAACUGGGAAACUUGAGUGCAGAAGAGGAAAGUGGAAUUCCAUGUGUAGCGGUGAAAUGCGCAGAGAUAUGGAGGAACACCAGUGGCGAAGGCGACUUUCUGGUCUGUAACUGACGCUGAUGUGCGAAAGCGUGGGGAUCAAACAGGAUUAGAUACCCUGGUAGUCCACGCCGUAAACGAUGAGUGCUAAGGGUUAGGGGGUUUCCGCCCCUUAGUGCUGCAGCUAACGCAUUAAGCACUCCGCCUGGGGAGUACGACCGCAAGGUUGAAACUCAAAGGAAUUGACGGGGACCCGCACAAGCGGUGGAAGCAUGUGGUUUAAUUCGAAGCAACGCGAAGAACCUUACCAAAUCUUGACAUCCUUUGAAAACUCUAGAGAUAGAGCCUUCCCCUUCGGGGGACAAAGUGACAGGUGGUUGCAUGGUUGUCGUCAGCUCGUGUCGUGAGAUGGUUGGGUUAAGUCCCGCAACGAGCGCAACCCUUAAGCUUAGUUGCCAUCAUUAAGUUGGGCACUCUAGGUUGACUGCCGGUGAC
rnacentral:rRNA from 1 species